GUGCGAAUGCUGACAUGAGUAGCGUUAAAGGGGGUGAAAAGCCCCCUCGCCGUAAGCGCAAGGUUUCCUACGCAACGUUCAUCGGCGUAGGGUGAGUCGGCCCCUAAGGCGAGGCAGAGAUGCGUAGCUGAUGGGAAACAGGUCAAUAUUCCUGUACCGAUCAAUAGUGCGAUGUGGGGACGGAGAAGGUUAGCUCAGCCAACUGUUGGAUAUGUUGGUUCAAGCCUGUAGUCGUGCCCGGUAGGCAAAUCCGCCGGGCUUAGAUGAGGGGUGAUAACGAGUGUGCUUGCACACGAAGUGAGUGAUACCCUGCUUCCAGGAAAAGCCAC
rnacentral:rRNA from 1 species